UGCAGUCGAGCGGACAGAUGGGAGCUUGCUCCCUGAUGUUAGCGGCGGACGGGUGAGUAACACGUGGGUAACCUGCCUGUAAGACUGGGAUAACUCCGGGAAACCGGGGCUAAUACCGGAUGGUUGUUUGAACCGCAUGGUUCAGACAUAAAAGGUGGCUUCGGCUACCACUUACAGAUGGACCCGCGGCGCAUUAGCUAGUUGGUGAGGUAACGGCUCACCAAGGCAACGAUGCGUAGCCGACCUGAGAGGGUGAUCGGCCACACUGGGACUGAGACACGGCCCAGACUCCUACGGGAGGCAGCAGUAGGGAAUCUUCCGCAAUGGACGAAAGUCUGACGGAGCAACGCCGCGUGAGUGAUGAAGGUUUUCGGAUCGUAAAGCUCUGUUGUUAGGGAAGAACAAGUGCCGUUCAAAUAGGGCGGCACCUUGACGGUACCUAACCAGAAAGCCACGGCUAACUACGUGCCAGCAGCCGCGGUAAUACGUAGGUGGCAAGCGUUGUCCGGAAUUAUUGGGCGUAAAGGGCUCGCAGGCGGUUUCUUAAGUCUGAUGUGAAAGCCCCCGGCUCAACCGGGGAGGGUCAUUGGAAACUGGGGAACUUGAGUGCAGAAGAGGAGAGUGGAAUUCCACGUGUAGCGGUGAAAUGCGUAGAGAUGUGGAGGAACACCAGUGGCGAAGGCGACUCUCUGGUCUGUAACUGACGCUGAGGAGCGAAAGCGUGGGGAGCGAACAGGAUUAGAUACCCUGGUAGUCCACGCCGUAAACGAUGAGUGCUAAGUGUUA
rnacentral:rRNA from 1 species